CAUGUAGGCGGCAUGACAAGUCUGGUGUGAAAUAUCUCGGCUCAACCGAGAAAACGCACUGGAAACUGUCAAGCUUGAGUAUCGGAGGGGAAGCUAGAAUUCCUGGUGUAGGGGUGAAAUCUGUAGAUAUCAGGAAGAAUACCGGUGGCGAAGGCGAGCUUCUGGACAGAUACUGACGCUGAGAUGCGAAAGCGUGGGGAGCGAACAGGAUUAGAUACCCGAGUAGUCC
rnacentral:rRNA from 1 species